UUAAAACUGUUCAACUGCUGUAUGA
rnacentral:piRNA from 1 species